rnacentral:tRNA from 2 species
GCCCCCGUAGCUCAGGUGGAUAGAGCUAGGGAUUCCUAAUCCCUGUGCCGCGUGUUCGAGUCACGCCGGGGGCACCA